AUUCUCCAUUUUGAUCUCUGUUUCUCCAAUUUUGAGGGCAGUUGUUUGCACUACAACCUGACUUCUCUGAAACAUCUGUAAGCUGUUGAUUUUUCAGCUGGUCCAGGUGUUUACCUGUUGGAAUCUUGUUUCAUGAUGGGCCAGAACCCUGCUCUGCUUUGGAUCCAGCUUCCUGCUGAUGUUCUUGGGAAGGCAGAGGAAGAUGCCCUGAGUACAUGGAACGCAAUUACCUAUGUGGGAAACCAGAAUGGAGUUUCUAGCUUCCAGCUUUAAUCUGGACCAGCCCUGGCAAUUGCAACCAUUUUGAGAGCUUUAUUUAUUUAUUUGAAAGACAGAGUUACACAGAGAGAAGAGAAGCACAGACAGAGAGCAGUCCUCCAUCCGCUGAUUCACUCCCCAGAGGGCCACGACAGCUGGAGCUGCACCUAUCCAAAGCCAGGAACCAGGAGCUUCUUCUGGGUCCCCCACACAGGUGCAGGAGCUCAAGGACUUGGGUCAUCUUCCACUGCUUUCCCAGGCCAUAGCAGAUUGUUGUUGGAUCAGAAGUGGAGCAUCUAGGACUCCAACCUGCACCCAUAUAGGAUGCCAGCACUGCAGGUGGCAGCUUUACCCUUUAUGCCACAGCGCCCGCCCCCUUGUUGUUUCUUAAUCUCUGGAAUUCCACUCCUUUCCUUGCCUUUUACAUCUUCCACCACAUUCUCUAUUAUUUCAAUUAUAUAUGCUUCUUUUUCCUUUAAUGUGUCCAUUUAAAAAAAUUUGUUAAAACUGAUUUAAGAAUUCAACAUGGGCCAGCGUCAUGGCUCACUUGGUUAAUCCUCCGCCUGCAGCGCCAGCAUCCCAUAUGGGCACCGGUUCUAGUCCUGGUUGCUCCUCUUC